rnacentral:lncRNA from 1 species
CCUUGUACAAUUUAUAUAAGCUUUCAAUCUCCAGCUUGACCAUCAUCAUUAAUCUGCAAAUUAAAACAAAGAAUUAAACAAGUAAAUAAUUUGUAUUAUUUAUGACCAUGAUAAUUCAUAAUUGAGCAUCAAAAUGAGCAUCAAGCACAUACUAGAAAAAGAAAAAAGAAAUAUUAUUCAAAACAUGGUUGUGUCUCCUCUUCAUCAUCAUUAUCAGUCACUUUUCCCUUCAUUUCUUUUCCAUUUAUCACCUUAUCUUUAGGAAUCCCACCAAAUUUUUUUUUUUUUCUGAAAAAACACUUAAGAAAUAUAAAGAAAACAAAUAUUAUCAAAAUUAAAUAAAGUGUAGAAGUGUGAUAAAUUUGAUACCUUUCAAUUGAGCAUAUCCAAUUCUGUGUACACAUUAAGGCCUCUAAUGUACUCAGAUGAAGUCUACUACGAUGUGAACUUAAAAAUACCUGCACUAAAAGUAGACCCAGAAGCAACUAUGGAGACCGAAACAGCCAAAAAAUCUCUAGCAAUCUAUGAAAAUAUAGGAUACCUACUUCUAUUCACCUUCCACCACAUUAAAAUAUCGAAGUCUCGUAUCCUCCUCUUCCAAGUAAGUAUCUAACUCCAACAUAGCUCGUUUAUGAAUAUGUUAGCUUUUAAAUGCAUUAAAUUUUUGCACAUCGAACAUGCCUAUAACAACUGAACUAGAACUAGAAACAACACUAGACUCACCAAAUGCUUCAACCAAAUUCAAUCCAACCAUACUCUUUUUUUUUUUUUAUAUAUUUUGUAUAUAAGUGAAAUGAUGAUUCUUAGUGACCAAAUUAACUCUCUCUUUUUUAUAUAUUCAACCAAAUUCAAACAACACUAUACUUUUUUUUUUCAAUCAAACAAACCAAAUUAAAAAAAAUUAACCAAUUAACAAAACCCAUAGAUCAUAAGAAGUUGAUCAAUUUCCUCAAAAUUCAAUACAAAAUAUGAGCAAAAAAAUUUCUAAAAGGUGAGAAACGUUGCUUUUAUGGACCAUGAAGCAUCUAAAAAGGUCUAAAAAGUGAUGGAAACAAACAAAUUUAUGGGCACAUGGGGAGAAGAGAAAUUGUUUCCAUUUUGGUUGGCUUCAAGUCAAGUUGAACACGUUCUUACAAUUGAAAAAUUCAAGGUGAGAUAUUGUGAGAGCUGCUGAGAAAGAAGAGAAGCGAAGAGAGAGAAGAAAAAAUAAAAACUAAUAAUGAAAACCCUACAAGUUAACAGAGCAAAUAAAUAGAGAAAAACAGGGUAAAUAUUUACCAUUAUACAUAUUUUUUUCCCCAAAAACGAAUGUUGCGAAUUUUUUUUUAAAAGAAGCACAGCCUAUUAUUACUACAGAUCAAAGGCGAUGAAUCAAAUAAAAUUUGAGGAAUGCAAGUGAAGAAAAAGAGGGAGAUUUGAAUUAUAUACAUAGAUGUCAAAAGAGAGAGAUAUGAGUUGCAGGUUUGCCUCCGCUUGUUCCUUUUCCUCAGUGACAGAGAGAAAAGAGAAGAGAAGAGAUGAGCGAUGAAUGAUGAGUGGGCAAAGAGCGAUGAGCACCAGCGAACGAAGAGCGGUUGGUGAUAAUAUGAGGGUUUGCUAAAUCAAUAAUCUAUGACAUUCGUUUUAUUUUUUUCUUUUUAGUUUUACAAUAUAAGUUUUUUUUACCUUAAAAUUGGAUAAAUGAAUUGGACUUUGGAUAUCCAUCAAUUAUCCAUAUCCAUCCAAUAUCUAAUUGGAUAAUUUUAAAAUUAUCCAUAUCCAUAUCCAAAAUGAUUUUGGAUGGAUAUUAUCCAUCAAAUAUUCAUAUCCAUCCCUAUAUGUAAGUCAUGUUAAUACUAUUUUGAUUUUAAUACUA